AGCGAUGGAUCCCGUGGUUAGAGGAGCGCGAGGUGAGGAAGGUGCUCUACCUUUCUCUGAAGGAGUUUAAGAACACCCAGAGAACAAGGUGACAGAUGGCCUCGCACAGGUAACAUCAACGGCUCUUUCCCACACAGCCAUGGCUGCCGGUCAGGACCAAAGGCAGGGAUACCGGCAGUCAACGGUAAAGCUGAGUGCACACGCUGCUCGUCUCAAAGCAACGAUGGCAGCAGCGAGUAUUCAGGGGACGAUCCAGUCAGAAAGAGACCGCGGCUGCAGGCUCAGAGGAAGUUUGCCCAGUCUCAGCCACGCUCCCCGUGCCACGCCGGUCAAGCUGUCUGAGACCUCUUGCCCCUAGCCCCACCUCUCCCCUCAGCGACCUCACCAGACGCAAGCCCAAGACUGAGGACUUCCUCACCUUCCUCUGUUUACGAGGUGAGUGGCCUGCAACCUUU